GCUGGAGUGAUGCAGAGGUGGAUAGAAUUCCUGGUGUAGCGGUGAAAUGCGUUGAUAUCAGGAGGAAUACCCGUGGCGAAGGCGGUCCACUGGGCAUCAACUGACGCUGAGGCGCGAAAGCGUGGGUAGCAAACAGGAUUAGAUACCCUGGUAGUCCACGCCCUAAACGAUGGAUGCUAGGCGUAGGAGGUAUCGACCCCUCCUGUGCCGCAGCUAACGCACUAAGCAUCCCGCCUGGGGACUACGGCCGCAAGGUUGAAACUCAAAUGAAUUGACGGGGACCCGCACAAGCGGUGGAGCAUGUGGAUUAAUUCGAUACUAACCGAAGAACCUUACCCAGGUUUGACAUCGAGGGAAAGCCUAUGAAAGUAGGCCCUCGCCCACAAGGCGACCCGAAGACAGAUGUUGCAUGGCUGUCGUCAGCUCGUGCCGUGAGGUGUACGGUUAAGUCCGCCAACGAGCGCAACCCUCGUCGUGUGUUACCAGCGAGUAAUGUCGGGAACUCACACGAGACCGCCGGUGUAAGCCGGAGGAAGGUGAGGAUGACGUCAAGUCAGCAUGGCUCUUACGCCUGGGGCUUCACACAUGCUACAAUGGGCGCAACAGAGGGCAGCAAUACCGCGAGGUGGAGCUAAUCCCAAAAAUACGCCCCCAGUUCAGAUUGCAGUCUGCAACUCGACUGCAUGAAGGCGGAAUCGCUAGUAAACGCAGGUCAGCUAUACUGCGUUGAAUACGUUCCCGGGUCUUGUACACACCGCCCGUCAAGUCACC
rnacentral:rRNA from 1 species